AGUGAACGCUGGCGGUAGGCCUAACACAUGCAAGUCGAACGGCAGCACAGUAAGAGCUUGCUCUUACGGGUGGCGAGUGGCGGACGGGUGAGGAAUACAUCGGAAUCUACUUUUUCGUGGGGGAUAACGUAGGGAAACUUACGCUAAUACCGCAUACGACCUACGGGUGAAAGCAGGGGAUCUUCGGACCUUGCGCGAUUGAAUGAGCCGAUGUCGGAUUAGCUAGUUGGCGGGGUAAAGGCCCACCAAGGCGACGAUCCGUAGCUGGUCUGAGAGGAUGAUCAGGCAAACUGGAACUGGGAAAAGGGCCAGAAUUCUAAGGGAAGGAGGAGUGGGGAAUAUUGGACAAUGGGCGGAAGGCUGAACCAGGCAUAACGGGGGGGGGAAGAAGGGCUUCGGGGUGUAAAACCCUUUUGGUGGGAAAGAAAAGGAGGAAGUUUAAAACCCGGCGGUCUGAAGGUAACCAAAGAAUAAGCAACGGCUAACUUCGUG
rnacentral:rRNA from 1 species